UACGAAGGGGGCUAGCGUUGCUCGGAAUCGCUGGGCGUAAAGGGCGCGUAGGCGGAUCUUUAAGUCGGGGGUGAAAGCCUGAGGCUCAACCUCAGAAUUGCCUUCGAUACUGAGGAUCUCGAGUCCGGGAGAGGUGAGUGGAACUGCGAGUGUAGAGGUGAAAUUCGUAGAUAUUCGCAAGAACACCAGUGGCGAAGGCGGCUCACUGGCCCGGUACUGACGCUGAGGUGCGAAAGCGUGGGGAGCAAACAGG
rnacentral:rRNA from 1 species